rnacentral:tRNA from 1 species
AAUAAAAUGCCUGAAUAAAGGGUUUUCUUGAUAGGAUAAAUUAUGUGUUAUUUAUUUCACUUUUAUUA